rnacentral:rRNA from 1 species
UACGUAGGGUGCGAGCGUUAACCGGAAUUACUGGGCGUAAAGCGCGCGCAGGCGGCCUUUUAAGUCAGAUGUGAAAUCCCCGGGCUUAACCUGGGAAUGGCGUUUGGGACUGGAAGUCUGGAGUGCGGCAGAGGAGACUGGAAUUCCUGGUGUAGCAGUGAAAUGCGUAGAUAUCAGGAGGAACACCGAUGGCGAAGGCAGGUCUCUGGGCUGACACUGACGCUCAUGCACGAAAGCGUGGGGAGCAAACAGG